UGCAAUUUGCUUCUCUCCCCAUCAUCAAAAUGUAUCACUAUCUCUUCAAAGGAAAAUGGCUCACCUCUCAAAAUAAAUCAUACGUAAACGAAAAAAAAAUCAGAAACACUUUCUACCUCUUCUUCAUUUUUUUUCGUUUCCUUUAAUUAUUUAGCAACAACAAUGUUCCAUACAAAUUAUCAAUAAGAAAAUCCAACUCAACAAUCAGUUAUCAACAAUAAGCAAUUGGUAGCAACAACAUCAUUUGAAGCAAAAAAAUCAAGAACCCUAGUGAAUCAACUCAAGAAUUUACAUCAUAUUAAUGUGUCAUUUCAAGGGGGUUUUAUUUCGCCAUGAUGUAUAAGAGAUUUGAAUGGAAGAAAAAUGAUAAAAAAGUAUUGUAUAGGAGCUUUGAGUUUUCUGGAUUUCGGUGACUUUUCUAGUGGAUCUCCAACAAUACACGGGUCUCUACAGAGGCAUUUAUAAAGAAUUUUGAGGGAAAGGAAUCAGCUGGAAAUUUGGAUAGGAAUGAAAUAAAUUUGUUAGAAGGAUCCUUGAUUUUAUAUAAGUGAGUGAGAUUUGGAGGAACAACGCGUGAAGAAAAAUCAUUUAACAUGUGAAGGUCUUUUGAUCAGAUAUUUUUUUGUGUAUUUUUGUCCUCUUGUGUAUUGUAAUUUUCUUCUUUUUUUUUACUGGUGUGGUGAGUUAAUGUUCUAUUGUAACAAUUUGUAUGUAUGUUUCUCUUCUUCUUUUUUUACUGAUGUGUUUUGGUAAUCUAGCACCUUGUAACCUUUGGGUAAUAAGUUUUUUGUCUUUGCUGAUAUAAAUCGAUGCAAAAAAGAAACUCAUUUUUAA